UACAGAGACUGCAAGCGUUAUUCGGAUUCACUGGGCGUAAAGGGUGCGCAGGCGGCCAAGUGUGUGAGGCGUGAAAGCCCGGGGCUUAACCCCGGAAUUGCACCUCAAACUACAUGGCUAGAGCAUUGGAGAAGGGUGAGCGGAAUUCACGGGUGUAGCAGUGAAAUGCGUAGAUAUCGUGAGGAACACCAGAGGCGAAGGCGGCUACCUGGACAAUUGCUGACGCUCAGGCACGAAAGCGUGGGGAGCAAAAGGG
rnacentral:rRNA from 1 species